rnacentral:rRNA from 1 species
AGACUAAGUGGAAAAGGAAGUGGGGUUACCGAAACAGCCAGGAGGUUGGCUUAGAAGCAGCCACCCUUUAAAGAGUGCGUAAUAGCUCACUGGUCGAGUGAUCCUGCGCCGACAAUAUAACGGGGCUAAGUCUGAUACCGAAGCUGCGGAUUUCACAGGCGCGAGUCUGUGAGGUAGUAGGGGAGCGUUCUGAGCGAGUCGAAGGCACGUCGUGAGGCGUGUUGGAUUGCUCAGAAGUGAGAAUGCUGGCAUGAGUAGCGAGAAAUGUGUGAGAAACACAUUCGCCGUAAAUCCGAGGUUUCCGACGCAAGGUUAAUCCGCGUCGGGUUAGUCGGUCCUAAGCCGAGGGCGCGAGCCGUAGGCGAUGGACAACGGGUUAAUAUUCCCGUACCACGUCGUGGCGUUUGAGUGAAGGGGUGACGCAGGAGGGUAGGCCAGCCGGUUAAUGGAUUCCGGUGCCAAGCCUGUAGGGUGUUGAUCCGUGUAGGCAAAUCCGCACGGGGAGCUUGAGGGGUGAUGGCGGGGCCCAGAGCCCAGAAGUGGUUGAGCCCAAGCUGCCAAGAAAAGCCUCUAGCGAGUGCCGCGCGCCCGUACCGCAAACCGACACCGGUGGAUGGGUAGAGUAUACCAAGGCGAUCGGGAGAACCCUCGUUAAGGAACUAGGCAAAAUGACCCCGUAACUUUGGGAGAAGGGGGGUCCUGGUGGGUGAAGGGGCGAGCCUCCGGAGCCCGUCGGGAUCGCAGAGAAACGGCCCUACUGACUGUUUAACAAAAACACAGGUCUCUGCCAAAGCGCAAGCUGACGUAUAGGGGCUGACACCUGCCCAGUGCCGGAAGGUUAAAGGGAGGGGUUAGCGGCCGGGAGACCGGCUGCGAAGCUCUGAACUGAAGCCCCGGUGAACGGCGGCCGUAACUAUAACGGUCCUAAGGUAGCGAAAUUCCUUGUCGGGUAAGUUCCGACCCGCACGAAUGGUGUAACAAGUGGGGCGCUGUCUCAACGAGGGACCCGGCGAAAUUGAACUAGGUGUGAAGAUGCAUCUUACCCGCAGCAGGACAAAAAGACCCCGUGGAGCUUUACUGCAGCCUGAUAUUGAGUUAGGGCUCGGUUUGUGUAGGAUAGGUGGGAGGCGAUGAAACUGGGGCGCCAGCCUCGGUGGAGCCGACGUUGAAAUACCACCCUGAUCGAGUCUUGGCCCUAACCCGCGGCCGUGAUCCGGCGUGGGGACAGUGUCAGGUGGGCAGUUUGACUGGGGCGGUCGCCUCCAAAAAGGUAACGGAGGCGCCCAAAGGUUCCCUCAGGCUGAAUGGAAACCAGCCGCAGAGUGUAAAGGCACAAGGGAGCUUGACUGCAAGACCAACGCGUCGCGCAGAGACGAAAGUCGGGCUUAGUGAUCCUACGACUCCGAGUGGAAGGGUCGUGGCUUAACGGACAAAAGCUACCCCGGGGAUAACAGGCUGGUCUUGCCCAAGAGUUCACAUCGACGGCAAGGUUCGGCACCUCGAUGUCGGCUCGUCGCAUCCUGGGGCCGGAGAAGGUCCCAAGGGUUGGGCUGUUCGCCCAUUAAAGCGGUACGCGAGCUGGGUUCAGAACGUCGUGAGACAGUUCGGUCUCUAUCCGCUGUGGGCGCAGGUGACUUGAGGGGAGCUGUCCCUAGUACGAGAGGACCGGGACGGACAAACCGCUGGUGUGCCAGUUGUACCGCCAGGUGCAUAGCUGGGUAGCCACGUUUGGCAGGGAUAACCGCUGAAAGCAUCUAAGUGGGAAGCCCGCCCCAAGAUGAGAUCACCCAUUGC